AGAGUUUGAUCAUGGCUCAGGAUGAACGCUGGCGGUAUGCUUAACACAUGCAAGUCGAACGAAAUCUUCGGAUUUAGUGGCGGACGGGUGAGUAACGCGUGAGAAUCUACUCUUAGAUUGGGGACAACAGUUGGAAACGACUGCUAAUACCGAAUGUGCCGAAAGGUAAAAGAUUUAUCGUCUGAGAAUGAGCUCGCGUUGGAUUAGCUAGUUGGAGUGGUAAUGGCACACCAAGGCGACGAUCCAUAACUGGUCUGAGAGGACGAUCAGCCACACUGGGACUGAGACACGGCCCAGACUCCUACGGGAGGCAGCAGUGGGGAAUUUUCCGCAAUGGGCGAAAGCCUGACGGAGCAAGACCGCGUGGGGGAAGAAGGCUCUUGGGUCGUAAACUCCUUUUCUCUGGGAAGAACAAAAUGACGGUACCAGAGAAUCAGCUCGAUCCCCCG
rnacentral:rRNA from 1 species